rnacentral:rRNA from 1 species
CCCUUAGAUGUUCUGGGCCGCACGCGCGCUUCACUGUUCGACGCAGCGAGUCUUAACCUUGACCGAAAGGUUUGGGUAAUCUUCAGCAAAGUCGAACGUGAUGGGGAUCGAUCAUUGCAAUUAUUGAUCGUGAACGAGGAAUUCCUAGUAAGUGCAAGUCAUCAGCUUGCGCUGAUUACGUCCCUGCCCUUUGUACACACCGCCCGUCGCUACUACCGAUUGAAUGGUUUAGUGAGAUCUCUGGAUUGACGCUGGCUAGGGGGCGACCCUUGGCCAGACUGUUGAGAAACUGCUCAAACUUGAUCAUUUAGAGGAAGUAAAAGUCGUAACA